AUUCUAUUAGCUCAGUUGAUUAGAACGUCGUGUUAAUAACGCGAAAGUCACGGGUUCGAGAUCUCGUAUGAAUUA
rfam:Glycine soja cultivar W05 scaffold50_1, whole genome shotgun sequence.